rnacentral:rRNA from 1 species
AGAGUUUGAUCAUGGCUCAGGACGAACGCUUGCGGCGUGCCUAAGAAAUGCAAGUCGAACGGGUGCAGCAAUGCGCCAGUGGCGAACGGUCGCGUAACACGUAGGCAACCUGCCCCGAAGUGGGGGAUAACGGUUCGAAAGAGCCGCUAAUACCGCAUGUGCAUGACGCUCUGCAUGGAGUGUUAUGUAAAGCUUGAUGUGCUUCGGGAUGGGCUUGCGGCCUAUCAGGUAGUUGGUGGGGUAAUGGCCUACCAAGCCGACGACGGGUAGCUGGUCUGAGAGGACGACCAGCCGGAUUGGGACUGAGAUACGGCCCAGACUCCUACGGGGGGCAGCAAUUAGGAAUCUUGCGCAAUGGGGGCAACCCUGACGCAGCGACGCCGCGUGCGGGAUGAAGGCAUUCGUGUCGUAAACCGCUUUUGCCAGGGAAGAAACACAUGACGGUACCUGGUGAAUAAGCCCCGGCUAACUACGUGCCAGCAGCCGCGGUAAUAC